CUUUGCCUCCAUGGCUUGUAAACCAACCUUGUAGCGUUCCAUAUACCGAAGCCGCCUAUUGGUCAGUAAAACUAAAAAACUAAUUUCGGAUUGGUUCGUUGAGAACCCAACAGCCAGCAUUUUUUUCAUGCUAGAUAGCUGUAGCUAAGCCCUCUGUGGUCUGACUCUGACAAUCAACAGAAAUGGGAGAGCCGCCUGUGGUUAUCCUCCAGCACCUGGUGAGUGGCAGGUAGUGACGGUGCAAAAGCAAUGUUGUGCUCUCCUGUACAAUGAAGAAGAUAUUCAGCUUUACUAAGAAAAAGAAACACCCAUCUGGUACUCCUGACAAUGGGAGUGUGCUUUCUGUUGGCUAUGAACUGAAAGAAAAGGACCUCGGGAAGGUUCACAAGGCUGCCUCAGUGGGAGAUUUGGCAAAGCUGAAACAGCUUGCUAAAAAGAAUGAUAUCAAUCAACUUGACAAGGAGAACAGAACAGCACUUCAUAUUGCCUGUGCCAGUGGACAUGUUGAGGUGGUGCAAUUCCUUGUUGAGAGCAAAGCCAAGCUUAACCUAUGUGACAAUCAAAAUAGAUCUGCCUUAAUGAAGGCAGUGCAAUGCCAGCAUGAGCACUGUGUGAGCAUACUGGUGGAGAAUCAUGCCGACCCUAACCUGGUGGAUAUCAAUGGCAAUACAGCCCUACAUUUAGCAGCAAAUAUCCCUUCCAUUUCCACUACUGUCCUGUUGCUGGAGCAUGGGGCUGACAUCAAUGCUCAAAAUAAGGAGGGAUUCACACCCCUGACUGUGUCAGUCCGUGAGGACCAUAUUGACAUGGCUGAAUUUCUCCUAAAGGAGGGUGCUAGUGUGAAUUUUAUGGACCAAGGCCAAAGGUCCCCGUUAAUGAUAGCUGCUGGAAACGGACAAAUCAGUAUGUUGCGGCUGCUCUUGCGGUUUGACGCGGAUAUCACACUAAAGGAUACCAAAGGAUGGUCAGCUGAUGACUACGCAGUGAUGAAUGGGCAUCAUCCUUGUUCUCUCCUGAUAAUUGAGCACAGUACCCAGAGGAAAGAUGGCUCCCCCCUAUCACAUCAAGGUCAGAGGAAAAAGAAGACAAAACAGCUGUUGGGCAGUCCUUUCCAAGAUGUUGAAGCUGGCUUCUCUUUGGGAGGACCAGCCACUGACAAAGAUGAGCAUGGAGCAAAUGAAGCAGGGGGAGAUUUUGAAGACAAUUCUCAGUCGGAGUCACUAAGUCGGGUUUCAAAAAGUGCUGCAGAUGAAUGGGCUUCAUCAGAAGAUGAAAAUGAAUCAGUUUUAAUUGAAAAGAAACCACCGAAGGUAAACCUACGGAAAAUGAUUGCAUCUAAAAUGAGAGAAGCUUCUGCACUGUCUGACAGAUCCUUGAGUGGUACAGAAUCUGAGCCAGAGAGUGAGAAUAGAGUCCAGACAAUUGCAUCCCUCCCAAAGGCUUCACCAUCCAGCAAAGUUCCACAGCGCCCAGUAGAUCCCUCUCCCACUUCCUUCCUUCCUAAAGCACCCCAGAUGACUUCUAGCCCUCUUCCAAGCUCCGGAAAGAAAGAAGAUUCCACUCAGGAUGAGGAUGAUGAUAAUGACCAAGAGGAGGAGAGGGAUGAGGAGACAAAAGAAGAAGACAGCGUCUCGGAUGAAAAUGAUCAACCUGAAGAUAGUGGAGAGUCCCUAGACGCCACCUUACCUGUUCCUGAGACAGAUGUCUCUAAAGAUAAGAAAAGAGAUUUCCUGUCUGAGCUGGGUCUUGAGAAGGGAGAGGAGGAGCAGGAUUCUUGGGACUCUGAGUCCCACUCUGAAAACCUCAAUAUGACACAUAAAGAGAAACAAAGCUUGCACACUCAGGAUCAAGAAGAGAUGGCCACUGUUGAAGAAGAGAUUAAAGAAAACUUGUUUUAUAUUCCCUCUUUUUUAAGAGGGGAUGGAGGCAAUAGGAUGGCAGUCCUAGAGCCUUGGACAAGUGUAGGCAGGCCAAGAGGCAACCAGGGAGAGGUUGAAAACGACGACAAUGGUGAUGAUAAAGGAGGCGAACAUGCUGAUGAAGAUGAUACUAUACAGAAAAAGACUGAGAAGGCAAAAUGGAAACCACUUCGUGUUUUGAGCAAACUUGAAGGAGAUAACGAACAAAAGACCGACUUAAUGGAAGAGCUGGGUCUGGGUGAUGUUGAUGAUCUUGAAGCCCAAAAAGCAGAUGCAUCAGACUGGGACUCAGCCAGCACUACCAGUAAGAGAACCUUGCCCAGCCGCAGAAUGCCCUCCCCUGGAAUUGAGGAGUUCCCAGAAUGCUCCUCUCCAUCUGUCAAAGAGCAGGAUGAAGUCAUUGCUCCAGCAGCCCCCCUGACACCUCAGAGGAGCAUUAACUCCAACAAGACAUUGCCCAGCACACCCCAUCAACCUGCGCCGCAACCACAGCCUCGAGCAAGGAAGAUGGUGCUUCAGAAAUCAGAGAGUGAAGAAGAAUCAGAUUGGGAACCAGACAAUGUGGCGUCCACUUGCAACACAGCCAAGAUUGACAAUCAGCUGCAAAACAUAGCUGAGCUUCAGGCAGUGGUUACACCAGGUUCCCCUGAGCUCUCACCAAUGGCAAGAGACAGUAAAAGUAAUCUAGAGCCUGUAAAGCAGCAACAAAAGGAGAUAGAUGAGGCAGUAGAUACAUGCCAGUUAGAUCUGAACCCAUGUCCAUCUGACCAUGUGGACUCUGACGGUGGAGAAAAGGAUAAUGACUUUGUAUAUGAGCGCAGUCCUGCAGAAAGAAGUAAAGGGGGUUAUGUACCGUGGGAGAAUCGCUACGAGAAGCUCUGGGUUGAGGUGGAGAAAAGGGAGGUCAAAUCCACUUUCAAGAAUGUUGCUGGUGAAUUAAAAGAGAAGUUUGGAGAACUGCUCAAAUCAAGACAUUCUACAGAAGAAGAACAGGCCACGGCUGACUUUACUGCUACAGAAGAAGAGUCAAGUGAUGAAGAUGAAGAAGGGGAAGUCAUUGUGCGCCCCAUGGCCAGAGCGAGGAAUACCGUCCUUCUCACUAUACCUGAGCAGAGGGAGUCUGGACUAGAAGACUCUGUGACGGAGUCAACUGACAACUCCUUAUGCGAGAACUUGAUACAGGUCUGUGAGCCCCUGGCUAGUGAGAGCAUCAUGUGUCCAGAGCCAUAUCUACUACCUGAUGAUAUUUUGGAGGAGUCUCUUUCACCUCAACUCGCCACAGCACAAAAAGACAGCAGCUUAUCACCUGUUACCACAACAUUUACUGAUAAUCACACCGUACCCACGUUGGAUGGAGACCUGAGCACAUUCUUAAAAGAUGUGGCCAAACUAGGGCCAUUCCACAAACCACAUCUGGACCCCAUCUGGAAGGACAACAAUGCUAAUGGUGAUGAAGCUGAGAAAAACAACAGGAGCUCAGAAGAGGAUCCUGAAGAACUUAUCACGUCUCAUCCCCCCUCACUAAGCAGACGUUCAGCAUCUAUCCAAGGUGUUUCUGAUGAGGAGCUGGAAGAAGACAUGGAAAGAUUUAAACUUGAGGUUGGCAGGGAGACAACAAGGACUGCUAUGCGAGUGCACAAAUUAAGUACUUCCUGGGAUACUGGUGGAACACCAUUGGAAGAAGUGAGUCCUGGGAAACCUGAGACCAGAGCAAGAGCAAUUUACCAGGAACAGCAACCUGUGGCCACCAAGAGCACCAACGGGGCACCAGUGCAAUUGCAUCUCCCACUCCAGCAGAGCUGCAAUAGCAACAGACAGGAGGGCCAAGCUGUAGAGGAGACCUUACAGCUGGAGCUGGUCAGAGGGGCCCGGCGCAGCGGAGCCCCUCAGACCAACACUCAUGUCAAUGGAGAUCCUCUCUCUGUGUUUGAUGAUAGCACUUUAAGUGAAGUGUCGGACGAUGAAGGAAGGUUUCCAACCAGUGGGAAACAGAAAACUGAGAACACUGAAGUUGAGAUGGCAGAAGACUUUGAUGAACUCACUCAGUCAUCCGACACAGCCACAGAUGACAUUGACUCUCCCACUUCAGGCUAUCGUCACGCAUCCCUCCUCAUUCAGAAGCUGGACUCAGCCACUUUGGACUCGAGAAGCAUGGUGAAACUGCAGAACAUUUUCCAUGAAUAUGAGCGCUCCAUCCAAAAGGCAAGGAGUCGCCAUGGGUACCUGGCAGACAAGGUGAGCCAUUUGGAGAUGGAGAGGGCGGAGUUGAAGACUUCUUUGGAGGAAGUUAAAGAUGUUAAAUCUGCCUUGGAGCGCAACCAGCUGGAACUGCAGACUGAAGUCACAAACCUCAAAUUUCAGCUGAAACAAGAGCAGGAAAAUAGCCGCAAUGCCACCAUGAUGUACAACACAACCCGAGAUAAGCUCAGGAGGAUGGAGGAGCAGCAUCAGCUGGAGGUUCAGGAGAGACAAAAGGUGGAGCUCACCCUCAGGAAUCUGGAGCUGGAGAUGAGAACACUGGUCAGCAACGUUAAACAGCUUGAAGAGGACCACAGUGAAAGCCAGAGACUGCUGGCCCAGGAGCGCAGUGCUCGGACGCUGCAGGAGAAUCUGCUCAACAGCCAUCUCCGUAAACAGCAAGAGAUAGAGGACGAGAACAAAAGAAACAUGAGCAAAAGCAAUGAGGCUUUGUCCCAGCUCACUGAAGCCAGUGACAGGGAGAGGGAGUUGCUCCAGCAGACUGCUACCUUGCAGGAGCAACUGACCAGCCUGAGAACAGACCUUGAACAUUUGCAGGCCAACAGCAGUCUUAAAGAGAGCCAUCUUUUGGAAGAGAACGAGGCCCUCAAGGAACAGCUAGAAGACGCUCGUCGAGAUCUCAAACUCAACAGUGAAGCCCUGACCCAAACUGUCUUCAACUGCAAUAACCAGGUGACCACCCUGAAGUCUGAGUUAGCUAUGACAACAACCCGGUUGGAAAAUGAGCGGCAGACUCGCGAAGCACUGGAUGCAGAGGUGGAGUCCACUCGUACCCGCCUGGCUGGAGCCAUUAAGGAAGCCGAGCUUUGCCGGGCAGCUAACACAGACACAGAGAGAACUCUGCUCCGGGAGAAAGAUGAACACCAGCGUCUUAAAGACAGAUUCACAGGUGAAGCAGCCAGUCAACGCGAGCAAGUCAGCAGCCUGUCACAGAAGCUUGCCAAGGCAGAGACUCGUGCAAACAGCAUGGAAAAUGAAGUUUAUAGGGCGACACUUCAGUUGACGGAGAAGGGCCUGCUGCUGGAGGUCCUGCAGAGAGAGAAGGACCAGGCAGCUUUACGCGUCAAAGAGUUAGAAGCGGCUCUGCAGGCCGAGAGAGAGCUGGUCAGCCGUGCCGGAGCACGCCAAGAGGCCGUGCAGGAGCGACUUGCCCAAACCCAGAGUGAGUGCAUGCUACUGCGGCAACAGCUAGAGGAGGCCCAAAACAAAGGUGUUGCAAAGGAUCAUGCUGUUACAGAUGCCCAAGAGCGCUUCAGUGACAUUCUGUCCAAGCUGCACUCUGACAGCGAAGAGAGAGUACAUCUAGUGGAGGAGAGAAAUAAAGAGCUUGCCAGUAAGGCUGCUGAUCUUCGAGAUCAGAUCUACAAGUUAGAGGAAGAGAAGAGCGAAAGAGAGACAAGUGUAAGGCAGCUGCAGCAGGAGCUAGCCGACUCACUCAAGAAGCUGUCAAUGAGUGAAGCUUCUCUGGAGGUCAACACACGCUAUCGCAAUGACCUGGAAGAGGAGAAGGCUCGGCUCUUUAAAGACUUGGACAGGCUCAAAGGAAAGCUGGAGGAAAGCGAAGACCAGUAUAUGCAAGCUGAGAGACGUAUUAACAGUCUAAAGAGCUGUCUGGAGGAAAGGGAGAAGCAACUCACCACUGCUGCUCAGAAACAGCAGGAGGUGCUGUCCGCCUCAGCAGCUGCUGACACCACCAUCAAACAGCUGGAGGAAGCUAUGCAAAGGCUCGAGAUAGAGAACGCCCGGCUAGAAGCUGCUGCAAAGCAACAAUCCAACAAAAUUGAUGCACUUCAGAAAGGGGCUCAGGAAUCUGCCAUGCUAUCUGAUCGCUCGCCUGGAGGAGGGGUUGGUAUUGUGGAUGUCAGAGGUCAUCUGGAGGACUUGGUCACAAACCUCCAAAGCAGUAAGAUGACUUUGGAAGACCAACUCAGUCGAGAGGUCCAGAAGCAAAGCAUGCUGUCUCACACAGCCCAGGACUCGCAGGCCUUGUGGGAGGAGGAACUGAAGAGCCGCUCUAAGUUAGGAUUGCGCCUGGCAGAGCUUGAAAAGGAAAAAGGAGACCUGAGCACCCAGAUGGAAAUAGAAAAGAAGAAAGCCAAGAAAAUAGCAGAGCAGAAAAAGGCUGUGGACACCCGGCUGGAUCAAGAGAUGAAGAGAAACACAGAGCUCCAAAAAGAAAUGUACAGGUUGCGUACUGUAUUGAAGACUGCAAAGAAGAAAUUGCGGGAUCAGGACACUGGUGCAGCAGAAUUCGGCUUUCCCAUGAACAGUCUACGGGAGGACACAGGCAGACACAGCCAAGCAGAGGGUGCCCUUGCACGAUUGAAAGAAAAGGUCGAUGAUCUACAGAUGCAACUGGAGAAGGAAGGGUCCCGUCGCAGCCAGCUAGAGAAGGUGAACGGAGACCUUAAGGAUCAGCUGUCUUCCCUAAAGAGCUUGAGCCGCAGUAACGAGCACCUGGAGAGGGGAAAGAGGCAGCUUGAGGAGGAAGUGCUGGACCUGAGACGCCGAAUGGAGGCUGUUCAGAUGGAGCAGAGCCAGGUGGAACAGUACCGCCAUGAUGCAGAGGAGCGGGCCCGUCAGGAGAUUCAACAGAAACUGGAGCAGGUCAACAUCUUCCUGCAGUCGCAGGCAGCAUCCCAGGAAGCAUUAGAUCAGAUUAAAGCGGCCAAUGAGACCAGCCUGCGUUCUCAGCUGGAGCAGAAGAUCCGGGAGCUGGAGGGUGAACUGGGCCGGGCCCGCGCCACCCAUCAUGACAGCCUCAGUCAAAAAGAAUCCACACGCACGGAGCUAGAGAGAUACCGCCAGCUCUACACAGAGGAGCUGCGCAGCCGCAAGUCCCUGACUGCCAAACUAGAGAGGGCCAACAGUCGUCUAGCGGAAGCCAAUUCUAAGUUGCUCAAUGAGCGCAGCAGGUCUCUGAUCACCAGCAGCAUCGCAAACGGUAGCCUUGGAGGGCCCUCGCUGGACCUGGGCUCUUUGGGUUCCCCAGCACAAUAUGGGACCACACUGGGACCCCUCAACAGGAGCCUAGGCCUGGGAUUCUCCCUCCUCAGCCCUGUUACUGAGGGGCAGAACAGCCGGGUGGAGGACUACCUUGCCAAGCUUCUAGCUCAAAAGUCUAUCUCUCACCUCUCUUCUCUUCAGCCAGACCCAUAACCAGAUGCAGACUGAGUUGGAUAGAAACAUAUCAAAGGAAUUAAACAACGCCACAGCAGAGCUGGACUCGGCUUCAGCGCGGAUGUCCCCGGUGGGCUCUGCCUCCAGGGUGGAGCUGGACCCCGUCAGCAGGGCCACACAGCAGUACUUGGAGGUACUCAAGAAGAACAAUAUGAUCUGAACACACAUCACAGCUGCUCGCAUUCCUAUGUUGGAUUUCAGCCAAUUAAAAUCCUGACUGAACCAAGGCCAAAGCCACUGCCCAGUUAUAUAACACUAA